UACGAAGGUCCCGAGCGUUAUCCGGAUUUAUUGGGCUUAAAGGGUGCGUAGGCGGGUUAUUAAGUCAGUGGUGAAAGCCUUCAGCUUAACUGAAGAAUUGCCAUUGAUACUGAUGAUCUUGAGUAUGAUUGAGGUGGGCGGAAUGUGUCAUGUAGCGGUGAAAUGCUUAGAUAUGACACAGAACACCGAUUGCGAAGGCAGCUCACUAAGCCAUAACUGACGCUGAUGCACGAAAGCGUGGGGAGCAAACAGG
rnacentral:rRNA from 1 species